UACAGAGACCUCAAGCGUUAUCCGGAUUUAUUGGGCGUAAAGGGUCCGCAGGUUGCAACGUAAGUCAUGUGUUAAAUUAUCGGGCUCAACCCGGAAACUGCACGUGAUACUGCGUAGCUAGAGGCUGGGAGAGGUGCAUGGAAUUGCUAGUGUAGCGGUAAAAUGCGUUAAUAUUAGCAAGAACACCAAAGGCGAAGGCAAUGCACUGGAACAGUCCUGACACUCAGGGACGAAAGCGUGGGGAGCGAAA
rnacentral:rRNA from 1 species